GGUCCUGAAGGAACGUUGAAGACGACGACGUUGAUAGGCCGGGUGUGUAAGCGCAGCGAUGCGUUGAGCUAACCGGUACUAAUGAACCGUGAGGCUUAACCUU
rnacentral:rRNA from 1 species